GAUGAACGCUGGCGGCGUGCCUAAUACAUGCAAGUCGAGCGAACAGAUAAGGAGCUUGCUCCUUUGACGUUAGCGGCGGACGGGUGAGUAACACGUGGGUAACCUACCUAUAAGACUGGAAUAACUCCGGGAAACCGGGGCUAAUGCCGGAUAACAUUUAGAACCGCAUGGUUCUAAAGUGAAAGAUGGUUUUGCUAUCACUUAUAGAUGGACCCGCGCCGUAUUAGCUAGUUCGUAAGGUAACGGCUUACCAAGGCAACGAUACGUAGCCGACCUGAGAGGGUGAUCGGCCACACUGGAACUGAGACACGGUCCAGACUCCUACGGGAGGCAGCAGUAGGGAAUCUUCCGCAAUGGGCGAAAGCCUGACGGAGCAACGCCGCGUGAGUGAUGAAGGUCUUCGGAUCGUAAAACUCUGUUAUUAGGGAAGAACAAAUGUGUAAGUAACUGUGCACGUCUUGACGGUACCUAAUCAGAAAGCCACGGCUAACUACGUG
rnacentral:rRNA from 1 species